UGGGGAAUCUUCCGCAAUGGACGAAAGUCUGACGGAGCAACGCCGCGUGAGUGAAGACGGCCUUCGGGUUGUAAAGCUCUGUUAUUCGGGAAGAACGAUUCGUUUGUGAACAAUGAACGGAAGUGACGGUACCGAAAGAGAAAGCCACGGCUAACUACGUGCCAGCAGCCGCGGUAAUACGUAGGUGGCAAGCGUUGUCCGGAAUUAUUGGGCGUAAAGAGCGCGUAGGCGGUAUGGUAAGUCUGUCUUAGAAGUGCGGGGCUUAACCCCGUGAGGGGACAGAGACUGUCAUACUGGAGUCUCGGAGAGGAAAGCGGAAUUCCUAGUGUAGCGGUUAAAUGCGUAGAGAUUAGGAAGAACACCGGUGGCGAAGGCGGCUUUCUGGACGAGCACUGACGCUGAGGCGCGAAAGCGUGGGGAGCGAACAGG
rnacentral:rRNA from 1 species